UACGUAGGGAGCAAGCGUUGUUCGGAAUUACUGGGCGUAAAGGGCUCGUAGGCGGCCAACUAAGUCAGACGUGAAAUCCCCGGGCUUAACCUGGGAACUGCGUUUCUAACUGGCAGGCUUGAGUGUGGCAGAGGGGGGUGGAAUUCCACGUGUAGCAGUGAAAUGCGUAGAGAUGUGGAGGAACACCGAUGGCGAAGGCAGCCCCCUGGGAUAACACUGACGCUCAUGCACGAAAGCGUGGGGAGCAAACAGG
rnacentral:rRNA from 1 species